rnacentral:tRNA from 2 species
CGCGGGGUGGAGCAGUGGAAGCUCGUUGGGCUCAUAACCCAAAGGUCGCAGGUUCGAAUCCUGCCCCCGCUACCA